ACUACAGAGAGAGCGAGGAGCGCCAUUUCCUCCACAGUUAACCUAGAGAGUCUGACGCAACACUGCGUGUCUUCUCCAUACUGGACCACCUCAGAUAUACGGUCUUUAUUCCUGCUGGACCCGCUGCAGACUCGGCUAUGGGGUCCUACAGAGGACUGUGUUGUGGUGUAGUGGACGGAACCCCUGCUCGGGUCGAGGAAAACGACGCAGACCGCCUGGGCGGACUCCUCGGCUCCGGGCCUCACUCUGAGGAGGAGCGAGAGUUUAUUCAUUUGUGGGAGUUUAUUGGAGUUUGUUCGUUUAUUGGAGUUUAUUCGUUUGUGGACGCUGUGGAUUUAUUUCUCUCAGAGGAGACUAAAGCAGAGCGGAUCUGCUCCUCCGACACCAGAACACACCAGCUUCACCGACCGGCUCUGUUCGAGCUCCCGGAUGUAGGACAGAGCUGGUCAGUCACUCCUGAGCCCGAGAGACUCUUCUGCUCUGCGUCGGUUCAAAACCUACAUAGAAUCGAUAUGAGUCACGAGAGACGGGGUGACUUUGCACUGCAGGCCGCUCAGGCGGACUUGUGUUCGAGAAGCGCCCCGCCGUGGUGUUCCAGUGGAAUAACACGCUGUGUUGAGUCUCCGCUGUCUGGUCAGCCAUGCAGCUCUACAGCUUCAGCUUCUGUAUCCUGGCUGCAGUCCUGUCGGCAGGUCAGCAGACACUGGCUAACUUCGUCAAAACCACAUGGAGGGAUCUGAAUGACCCGGCCACUCUGUACUGUUCAGAGCCCUGUUCAGGGGUGGAAACCUGGGAGAAGAGUGGAGUGAAAGUGGCCGAAUGUGGAGUUAAAGAGGAGUCGGAGUUCAGCUGUGAGAGACACCUGGACCAGAGUAGCCUCACUGUUCCUCAGGUUAAUUACACCACCAGAGGAUUUUAUCUCACCAAAUGUAGCGGAGAAGUGAUCUGCUUCCAGAACCUCCAGCCCAAGCCUCACAGCUCUUCUGUUGAAGUACCCAGCUGGAGAUCCCCUCGUCUUGGAUCUGUUCACGUUCCAUCCAGUGACUCUAACGUUCUCCCGGACUGAUGGAGGAUCUGUAAGCCCUGUCCAGAUGUGCACUGUGGAUGGACGCUCCGUGCGCUGUUACGCGGGGUAUGAAGACAGAGUGUCAGUGUGUGGUAACUCCAUGGUGCUGAGAGACGUGGUGUCUGCUGACUCUGGAGUCUACACGGUCAGAGAGGUCAACGAUGGAGCGGCUCUCAUACGGACAGUGUCGGUCACUGUUAAAGGAAGAACAGAGGUGAGAGCUGAUAGAGAGGCUUCCAGAGAGGAAACACAGCUGAUCACUCUGAUCCUCACUGGCUCUAAAAACGGUACGACUGUUAGAACCGGACGCAUCACCACACUCCUGCAUACUAAUCUUUACCUUUUAUAUAAUAAAAAUUUUACAUUGCCAUGAUGUUUAUCAUGUAUAAAGACUCCAGAGGCUGUAUUACACAAACUUUCUAUCUCUAGGCCCAAUUUCUCAGCUGACAAGAUAAAAACAUAACUUUGUUCUAAGGAUUUGACGUAAAACAUGAUGCAGGAAUUGUAGUUUAUCUUACAGCGUCUUAUCUCAAGGUAAGAAAUACUAGUCAAGAAUCACUGCCAUGUAUGUUAAAAAAAAUGUAAUGUAAAAAACUUGCAGUAGGACAUUUUUUUGCUAAUUAAAUUGACUUUUUUAAUAUAUUGAAGAAAAAAAAAUAAACACAAAAUAUGAAGCAAGUUUUGAACACAGUGUGUUCUCUGUAGAGGAUGGAUUAAUUUGUUUUUACCGAGAAAAUCAACAACAACAUGCAGUUAGAUUGGGGGGGUGGCCAAACUUUAGCCCAUUAACCAACUAGAUGGAUAGAUAGAUAGACAGACAGACAGAUAGAUAGAUAGAUGAUCAAUCUUUAUUUAUCCAGAGGGGAAAUUGCAGUGUUUCAGUAGCAACACACAUAUACUUACAUAUACUAUGCAGAAAAAAUGAAAUAAAAAUAGACAUAAGUGUAAGAGUAGAAGUAAAGUAUAUCUGUUUGCAUAUUUACAUGGCAUAUGAGACAGAUUUUGUGUUUACAUGACAGCAAGCACUGAGUGGUAUGAGGUAAAAUAAAAAUGAGUGUAGCCAUAACUAGGAGUUGCAGCAAUAUUACAGUGUAAAGUGCAUAGUGGAAGUGUCAUUACAGCAGCAAGUUAUAUGUUGCACAGUGAGUAUUAACAGGAGAGGAGAUGUAGUGAUAUCACUAAUAUUAGUGAUAUAAUGAUGUAUAUAGAUAGAUGCACAAUGUAAAAAGCUCAACAACUGCAUUGGAAAAAAACAUUUAAUUGAACAUUGAUUGUGCCGCCUGCUGUUAAGUUUUAGUUUCCAUUUCUGUGGUCCAAGUGACACAGAGUGCGUUUACAUGCACUCAGUAAUCCGAUCAUAGUCUGAGUUCUGUAGUCAUCUGAUAUUCAAGUGGUCAUGUAAACAGCCCACUCCUUUUUUUUUUUUUUUAAGAUUAGAAUAAGGUCUAGAAAUCCGAUAAAGAGAGCUGGAUUUGAGCUCAGUUAUCAGAUGUGUGCUCUUACUCUGAUUUCUUUCAUUUUUCUCAGUCUGCGCAUGUGCGAAAACAGACAGCGGUGCCGGAAAAGAGCAAGCGAAGUUUUGCACAGCAGCUGCGAGCCGCAAUAAAGCACUUUUAGAGCAACGCUGAAACCGACUACAUGCUCGAUAAAAUGACUUAAAUAUUCUUAAUUUUCUAGAUGUUGAAUCUUCAUUUUUUUCUGGAACGUUUAAGCAUGCAUUUUAUCAGGUUGAUAAAACUGUGUGGCAAAACCAGGGAAUAUCCAUGUUAAUGCUUGAAACAGCUUCACAUUAACAUGCAUGUAUUUAGCAUGUCCACAUGCCGAUAUUUUAGGUGACGUUAUUAACAUUUUUAUUCCAUUUCUGAGUGCAUGGGGAGCCAGCUUCACAGAGGUCCCUCCUACCGAAAUACAUUUCUUCACAGAAAUCUUCUCUUUGUGAACAGCAGAGCCGAAGUUGGAAGUAUGGGUAUCAGAAGGGAAGUGAAGAUGGAUAUCGUAACGGAUUGGGAAUUGGGGCAGUGGUUUUUGGGAUCAUAGCGCUGGCUCUUGGUGUAAUUCUGGGAAUAUUUGCUGGGCCACAGGUGCGUCCACUGAUGGGCAGAGUCUUCCAAAGAUAAGAUCCCGCAGACGGAAAUCAAGCUGAAAAAGAGGAAAGCGAUGUUCCCCUGAAAUAGGAGAGUACCAGCCAGAGAUCUGAAGAACAUUUUCCUUUUUGCAGAUUGAAAGUUUUCAUCUUUCUUGAAAAAGCUGAAAGGAAAAGAAGCUUGAUGUGAUGCUCAGCCACAGGGACAUCUAACUGUGUCAUAUUUUGUCCUGCAACAGACUCAGUGACUCUUAAACCGCAUCAGACAGCAGUUUGUUAGACCUGUAAAAUAGCUGUCUGUAGAUCUGUAGAACUUCUCUUGUGCGUUCUGGUACCGCACUGAAGACGAGGUGAAUAAGACACUGCUGUAGUGUCUGUGGUAGUGGUGGCGUGAUGUUCAUGGCUAUAGAAAGCAGUUUUAACCUGUAAUUUAUGUCAGAAAUUCAAUGCUGACUCGAAGAUGUUAUCAGUACUACUGAAAACAGAAAAACGCAUUGCUGUUACAAUUUGAAUUUUCAGUUUUUGACGUUUCCACGUUUCUUACAUCCGAUUAACAUGGAUAGAGAGAAGUUAUGAGGGGAGCUGAAAAUGUACAUGACAAAUUAAUUCCUUCUUCUAAUAAUUUAAUUUUACAUGUUCUACUUACAAUAUUUAAUUAACCUUAAUAUAAAAUCAACAUUUUCACUUGUUUACAUUGUUGACAUCAACACUCUUGAAAUGCCACUUUGCACUAAAUGAUCUAUAUCCAUAUAGAUAACUGAUUUUCAACUACUGCAGUCAACUGAAAGCAGUUUUUAAAGAUGCUAAUAAACUUAAGAAGAAAACAAUAUAAAUUUGCAUGAAGGUGAAACGCUUGUAAAAAGUGAAAACAAAAUAUGUAAAA